rnacentral:lncRNA from 10 species
AUAUAAAUGUGUUAUAUAUAUAUAUCACAUUUUCUUUAUCCAUUCAUCCAUUGAUGGGCACUUAGGUUGAUUUCAUAUCUUGGCUAUUGUACAUAAUGCAGUGAAUGUGGGGGUGCAGAUCUCUCUUUGAGGUAUUGCUUUCAUUUCCUUUCAGUAUAUACCCACAAGUGGGAUUGCUGGAUUUUCUAGAUUAUAUGGUAGUUCUACUUGUAAUUUUUUUAGUAGCUUCCAUACUGUUUUUCAAAGUGGCUGUACUAAUUUACAUUCCCGCCAACCAUGUACGUAAGUGUUCCCUUUUCUCCACAUCUUUGCCAACACUUGUUAUCUCUCGGUUAUUUUUUUUAUAAUAGUCAUUCUAAUGGAUGUGGGGUGAUAUCUCAUUGUGGUUGUGAUUUGCAUUCCCCUGAUGAUGAGUGACAUUGAACACCAUUGUAUGUACCUGGUGGCCAUUUGCAUGUCUUAUUCUAUCCAUUCUGUUUUGUAUCUUGAGUUUCCCACAUAUCAGUGAGCUGUAAGCAUUUCUCCAUAUCAUUAAAUAUUAUUUGCACUGCCCCUUCCUUCAUCCUAAAGGCAGGGACCUGAACUGGGAGAGCCUCAAAGUCCUGCCAGGCUUCUGUCGGUGCCUGGUGCAUCAGCAGUUCUGCCGGCCUGGCAUGGGUAGAGAUGGAAACAAAUCCAGAAGAGUCACUGGAGUAGUAAUAGGAGUCUAAACUUAGGUUGUGGUAGACAAUCCUAGUUUCAAAUCCAGAUUUUGCCACUUCCAGGCUACCAGGCUCUGAGCCAAUCAAUUUCCCUAGCCAGUCAGUUUCCCUCUGAACCCUGGCUUCCCCAUCUGUAAAAUAGGGAUAGUAGAAUCUAUUUCAUGGUCCUUUUGUGUGGCCUCACUAAGCUAAUGGAUGUCAGGACUUGACCCACAAGGAGUCCCCUGUGAAGAUCAUCUAUUAUUAUUGUGAGAAUGUCAGGAGGCCCGAGUAAGUUCCUUUUCCUCUCUCUGGCUUCAAUUUCUUCAUGUGUACUAUGGGGGAUUGUACCGGAUGUUGCUUUUCAGCUCUGAUUUUCUUGAGGUCCUUCUUUACUCUCUGCUCUUUGCCGUGGGAGCACACAAUGAGACAACCCUCACCAGACACCGAAUCUGUGAGCACCAUGAUCUUGUACUUCUCAGCUUCUAGACCUUCUGAGCAGCAGGUCCAUUUUUAAAUCCAAGCUUUGUUCAUUUCAGGGACCAAAGAGGACUUCAUUUCCAUUUGGGGGCAGGGUAAAAGGAAAGAGAGUGGGGUACUGCAGCAGGAAGGAUGGAGGAUCCAUAUCAAGGGGAACUUCCGGUGUGAUCAAGCUUUGAUUCCAGGGCCAGUAUGAAUGCACUGCUCGGCUGUGGGAAAAGGGCUGGGAUGGAAAUGACACAGGCUGGGCCUGCAGCCAAUGGGAACUUCCCUACAGAAGAUGCCACUUAAAAGUGUUAUUAAACCCUCAGGACUUUUAAAGCAGAGAACAAGGUAACUAUGAACACUCUUUAAAGUGAUAUUGAGAGUUCCCAAGAGAGUUCUGUGUCUUUCUCACUUCCCUCUGCCUUGGGAUGCAGACACGUGUCUACCCCAAUGUCCCCCUCUCCUCCCCAGCUCCUGCUCUGUCCUCUAGCCUAGUCCCCUACCCAUCU